rnacentral:rRNA from 1 species
GACGAACGCUGGCGGCGUGCUUAACACAUGCAAGUCGAGCGGUAAGGCCCUUUCGGGGUACGACGAGCGGCGAACGGGUAGGAGUAACACGUGGGUGGACCUGCCCUCCAGCUCUGGGAGUAAGCCCGGGAAACCGUAGGGUCUAAUACUGGAUAUGACUCCACGGUGCAUGCCGUGGGGUGGAAAGCCUUGUGCGGCUGAGGAUGGGCCC